CUUUAAAAUGAACAUAUCCCUUGACUCUGUAAUUCCACAGGUGUGCAUUUAUCCUCAGGAAACAAACUAUUACAAGAACGCACAGACAGAUGUUUGAUGGGUAGCACUGAUCUGAGGGAAAACAGAGAAUCAAUAGCCUAGAGCUAUCAUCUCCUGACUUUGAUUUUUCAAUAAUAUAUAUUUCCAAGUGCUAAUAUAUACAUUAUAAAACAUACACAAACAAAUCUUAAAAGGAUAAAAUACGAAUUCGAAUAUUUUCUUCCCACGUAUCAACAGAUCACCUUGAGCAUUUCCUGAAUGAUGCACACCUUACCAUGCAGACCACUGGACUAGUGUAUCAGUGGUGAAAAGUGAUAAAAGAAAAAGAUAAGAGGGAGGCCAGAGUCAUGACAGUUACCACGACCACCUCAAGGCUGAACUAUGGGCAGAAACAAAAAAUCACAUUUUAACCUUGACCAUCAGCAGACAGCCUGAGAACAACGCUGUAGUCUUUCCCUGCAGUUAGGACAUUUAGAAAGCCCUGGGCACAAGUUACACUGUAGCUGGGAAGUGCUACCAGGCAGAACUGGACUCAGCCUUAGCCUUGCAAACCCUGCACUUUUUGCCUUUCCAAACCAGCCACACAAAGACCGAGGUGGGGCUCACCUAUCAACUUAGGGGUUGAGGUGUACUUCCCCCGUUUGCAAACCUUUUAAUAAAGCUUCACUUUUCUUUAAAAUUUAUCUUUGCCUUGUAAAGCUACUCAUUUCAGUUACCAUUUCUGGCGACGGGGAUGGGAUGUGAAGCGACUGCCUGAUCUCCUGGUCACUGCGUGCCAGCACAACCUGCAGCCGGCUGACUGCUCCUCCGCAUCUCCAGCGGCCUCAGGAGGACGAUCAAGCAGGACACAAUUGGAACACUGGUUAUAUUACCAAGGCUUUGACUGGAAUGUCAUAUUUGAGAAAAACAUCCAUAAACACAGAUAUGACCAAACAGCUUUGAGGAACAAGGAUUGCCUGUAUGGAAUAAAUAAAGCCACUUAGAAAUACUGGACUGGUACUUUGCUUACGGAGUUCCUAACAACCUCACCAGUGGUAUCUGGAUGCCACCCCGCCACUGGCAACCCACAUGAUGCUGGAUGAAGCCACCACCUACGUUCAGCCCAUGCUGCCCUCUGAUGCCUCCCACGUGGGACUAGAUGGAACCCAAGCAGCUAAAGGGGCCCUUGGGCAUCAAGGGAACUAAAUACUCCCUGAACUGAUCAAAGGUCUUGCCCUGGGGAACCUAUGAUCAAGAAAGGGAAAUGAUAAAAGAAAAAGGUAAGAACGAGACCAGAGUUAACGUGAUGGUUACCAUGACCACCUCAAGGCUGAACUAUGGACAGAAAUAAAAAAUUACAUUUUAACCUUAACUGUCACCAGAUGGCUGGAGGACAAUGCAGUAGUCUUUCCCUGUAGUUAAGACAUUUAGAAAGCCCUGAGCACAAGAUACACUGUAACUGGAAAGGGCGACCAAUCAGAACUGGACUCAGCUUUAGCCUUUCACACUCUGCACUUUUUGCCUUUAAAAACCAGCCACACAAAGACCAAGGCCGCGGCUCACCUAUCAACUUGCAGGGUGAGGUGUACUUCCCCAGUUUGCAAACCUUUUAAUAAAGCCUCAUUUUUCUUUAAAACUUAUCUUUGCCUCAUAAAGCUGCUCAUUUCGGUUAACAAAAGCAUCGAGGUUAGUUGUUGCAAGAUAACGUGUGGAAUCAGUGAAUUCUAUGAGAAGUAAAGCAGUUAAACCCUACGG